rnacentral:rRNA from 1 species
CCCUUAGAUGUUCUGGGCCGCACACGCGCUACACUGAAGGAGGCAGCGUGUACUCCUGGAUCGAAAGAUUUGGGUAACCCGCGAAUCUCCUUCGUGCUAGGGAUUGAGGUUUGCAAUUAUCCUUCAUGAACGAGGAAUUCCCGGUAAGUGCAAGUCAUAAGCUUGCGCUGACUACGUCCCUGCCCUUUGUACACACCGCCCGUCGCUACUACCGAUUGAAUGAUUUAGUGAGGACUUCGGACUGGGACCGAUGCGGCUUUCGGGCUGCGUCGGUAUUCUGGAAAGAUGUCCAAACUGUAUCAUUUAGAGGAAGUAAAAGUCGUANCA